rnacentral:lncRNA from 1 species
AUGAUUACAUGUGAAAUAUACAAAAUCCAAUUAAAAAAAAAAAAAAAAAAAAAAAAAAAAAAAAAAAGUAAAUUUCUCUAUGAACUAAGGCAAAAGACCUUAACAUUAUGUGACCAUGUGACCUUACAAUUAUGUGACCAUUUACAUAAAAACAGAGAAGUUCUCACCACAGAGAAGUUAUCUCCAGGAAAGGUCAAAGCAGUGCUUGACCCUGUUCUGCUCUAUUACAACUCAUGUAGAUCCUGUUUGCUCUCACUGUCUGGCAAGGACCAAUACACCACAACAUGGAUAAGGCAGUGACUACUGCUUUGCAGUAUGGAAGCACAGUACGCAUCACUGCUGGUUGCCCAUAAAAUAUAAGAUUAUGAAAAACAUUGUUAAACAGGCUAAACAUUAUUUCUGAAACAUCUCAGUGAAAAGUAGACUGGUGUAUAUAAAUUCUUUGCAUUUGUAUGUACUGUACAUUAUUGUGAAAAUUUCUCUCCUCAUGAGAUUAAUAGUGUCAAUUAGGCUGUCAAGGAUGAGCGAGCCUGUCAUGUGGGCUUUGACAGAAUGCUUGGGUUGAUCAGCUUCAUGCAGAUAUCGUAGCUUAAUAUUUACAUUUGAGUAACUAACAUUUACAAACGCUGUUUGAAAUUUUUCUGCUUACAGAACUGCAUUCAUGAACAUGGUGUCUUACAAAAAACAUCAUAGCAUACUGCGCAUCACUUAAAUAUGUUAGUUUACAUAGGUUUCAGGCAUAACUAUCAAAUCAAGAUGAAAACACCAUUUUGCAUUACUAUAUGAACAAGCUUAAAAAAAAGCCAUCAGUGACUGUUGAAGACAAAGCCGGGUUUCUUCUUUCCUGUAUGUAGUUUCUAGGUCUACUCAAGCAUGAAUGAUAUUUAGUGUGUACACUGCUGGAGAAGGGAAAAUCUUCCACCCUGGAGGAAACAUGGCAGAGAGUGUCCUCUUGGCUAGACCACACAUCAGGCUCUGAAGUUGGUCAAACUAUUGUGAGCAAAUGAAGGGGCCAUAAACACACCUCUUGGACACCACAUCCUUUUGCUAAUUCCUCUUUGUUUGUCUUUUCUCCAUGAAUCCUCUGUUUGAUCUGCAGUCUCCCAGCUUGGGAAGAGGACAGAAAAUGCUCUUCACCCUUUCUGAAGCCUUAAUGGAAAGAGGAGAGGUUGUGAAGAGGUAUGUUACUGACAGAGGCUACCAAUGUGGCUCCUGCUUUUCUCUGCAAUUCAAAUGCAGAUCUCACACAGAGACCAGCAGGACCUUGAGCCCGUUUUUUUUGUUUUGUUUUGUUUUGUUU